UACGAAGGGGGCUAGCGUUGCUCGGAAUUACUGGGCGUAAAGGGCGCGUAGGCGGAUAGUUUAGUCAGAGGUGAAAGCCCAGGGCUCAACCUUGGAAUUGCCUUUGAUACUGGCUGUCUUGAGUAUGGGAGAGGUGAGUGGAACUCCGAGUGUAGAGGUGAAAUUCGUAGAUAUUCGGAAGAACACCAGUGGCGAAGGCGACUCGCUGGACAAGUAUUGACGCUGAGGUGCGAAAGCGUGGGGAGCAAACAGGG
rnacentral:rRNA from 1 species